AUGACUUUCAGGCAAAAUAGUUAUUAAGGCAAGGCAAAAAUACAAGCAAAUGAUUAGUUAUAGGGAGAAUGCAGGCUUUUGGUUUACAGAAUGGAACUUGCUAAAGGCAUUUAGACCACUGAAAAGUCCUUUUGACAGGAUACAGCUGAAGAGUGACUUUCUUAGACAAAAACAGAAGUGGUGUAACCCAAUAUAGAAAAUCUGUAAUUAUGAGUUGUUACGGAGAAUUUAUCUUACAAAAUGAUUCUUAGUUUUAAGAAUGUAAUUCACAAUUAAGUUAUACUCAGCAGUAGUGGUACAUUUUAAAUGAUUUUAUUUACCAAAAGAAAAGUUACACGUGUAACUUU
rnacentral:lncRNA from 1 species